rnacentral:rRNA from 1 species
CGAAAGGAACGCUAAUACCGCAUACGUCCUACGGGAGAAAGCAGGGGACCGUUCGGGCCUUGCGCUAUCAGAUGAGCCUAGGUCGGAUUAGCUAGUUGGUGAGGUAAUGGCUCACCAAGGCGACGAUCCGUAACUGGUCUGAGAGGAUGAUCAGUCACACUGGAACUGAGACACGGUCCAGACUCCUACGGGAGGCAGCAGAU